AGUUUAUUUUUACUGCACAAACUCCCAGGGUGUCUAUAAUCUGAUUGAGUCCUUAGAGCUUGCAUAUUACGUCAUUACGUCGUCGGACGUCUCUGUCUGGAUAAGUGAAGUCGCCUGAGAACAAUGGCUGCCUGACUUCGGCGAAAGAAAGAAAGAAGUGGUGGACUGGAUGAAGCUGGAUGAUGGACUUUUCUAAUCAGGAUUUCUGGAGCAAGUGCUGCAGGACUUCCAGCUACUGUUUGGAGAAGAUAUUUCCUCUCAAUUUAUGGAAGUGGGGAAUUUUUCUGAACCCAGAAAUCAUCAAAGGAUCCAAGAACCUCACCAAGACACCCAUGUUGGACUCUUGAUUCCCAAACACCACUUUAUGAUACACCAAAGUCCUUUAGGCAAGUCCCUCCACUCUGCGGCCAUAUUGCAACGCAUUUUGGGCCCUUAUCGGGCAUCUAUUUCGGGCAGAACUGCGCGUGUGCAAGGCUUCACAACACCGGCCUCGCUCCAGCGGCGAGAUCACAACACAUGAUUGGUACCGUGUAUUCACAACACAUCACAUGAUUGGCACGAUGUAUUCACAUGUCGUCUUUUGGCCACGGAAGGUGUUGAGAUGUGGAUACACUACCCCAGAGCACUGUAGACAAUCACAUAAUUACGCCAGUCCAGUAAGUAUACAUGUUUUUAUAUUUUGCCAGAACUUCCUGAUGUUUAGACAUGAUUAUUUAAAUCCAUUCAUGAAUUGUAACAAUGAGGAACAAAUGUAAUGCCUUUAGUAUAUUGCUUUUUAUGAAUGUCAGCUGUAUUGUUUCAAACUAGA